UGCGCAGGCGGUUAUAUAAGACAGAUGUGAAAUCCCCGGGCUCAACCUGGGAACUGCAUUUGUGACUGUAUGGCUAGAGUACGGCAGAGGGGGAUGGAAUUCCGCGUGUAGCAGUGAAAUGCGUAGAUAUGCGGAGGAACACCGAUGGCGAAGGCAAUCCCCUGGGCCUGUACUGACGCUCAUGCACGAAAGCGUGGGGAGCAAACA
rnacentral:rRNA from 1 species